rnacentral:rRNA from 1 species
GACGAACGCUGGCGGCGCGCUUAACACAUGCAAGUCGAACGGAAAGGCCCUGCUUUUGUGGGGUGCUCGAGUGGCGAACGGGUGAGUAACACGUGAGUAACCUGCCCUUUACUUUGGGAUAACUUCAGGAAACUGGGGCUAAUACCGGAUAGGAGCUCCUGCUGCAUGGAGGGGGUUGGAAAGUUUCGGCGGUUGGGGAUGGACUCGCGGCUUAUCAGCUUGUUGGUGGGGUAGUGGCUUACCAAGGCUUUGACGGGUAGCCGGCCUGAGAGGGUGACCGGCCACAUUGGGACUGAGAUACGGCCCAGACUCCUACGGGAGGCAGCAGUGGGGAAUAUUGCACAAUGGGCGGAAGCCUGAUGCAGCAACGCCGCGUGCGGGAUGACGGCCUUCGGGUUGUAAACCGCUUUCGCCUGUGACGAAGCGUGAGUGACGGUAAUGGGUAAAGAAGCACCGGCUAACUACGUG